UCACAUGACGUCAUUUUUCGAGAGUUUUAGCCAGGGAAAUUUUAUGACGAAGGCAUGGCGGAGAGUGAAUGUUAUUAUGUUUCACGAAGAUUAUGGACAAAUUAACUGCAAUCCAUUCAUUUAGAACAGGAUUAUAUAAAGAUUGACUAGAAGAUCUUCAGUUUCAAGUGGUAUGCUGUUGCAGAAUUCCAAAAUGGUCUCUUAUAGAGCAUCUUCCAAAU